ACCACCAUUUAGCGAAGACAUCAGCCCUUCCAUCGCUGGAGGCAAGGAGGAGGACUAAAUGACUGGCAAGCUGGGACCAGUAGCUGCACGACUUAGAAGCUGGAGAUCCUAGGGGCAACAGAGACAUGCCGUAGUCUCGCCAUCUAGCUAGCUGCUUCUCCCUUUUUGGUAAUAAUGAUCAAUUGUGCAAUGGACAAAGCUACUGGAGAAGCACCACCUGCUCAAUCCAGUUAAUCUGGAGGUUUAUUUUACCUGGGCAACUCAUCGCAACAAUCGUUAACAACUAACAACCAGCGCCACCCCCUCGCAGUAGCG